CUCUCCUACAAAGGCAUGUCUAUCUGUGGCUCCCUCUCCAUGGCCACAUAAGAAUUUGAGGCAAAGAGAUGUGGACUUGGAGAAGUCUGGAGGCAGCUUGCUCCCCAUAGGCUCAAGAUCACCCUUUCCUACAUAC
rnacentral:snoRNA from 1 species